AGAGUUUGAUCAUGGCUCAGAACGAACGCUGGCGGCAGGCUUAACACAUGCAAGUCGAACGCCCCGCAAGGGGAGUGGCAGACGGGUGAGUAACGCGUGGGAACAUACCCUUUCCUGCGGAAUAGCUCCGGGAAACUGGAAUUAAUACCGCAUACGCCCUACGGGGGAAAGAUUUAUCGGGGAAGGAUUGGCCCGCGUUGGAUUAGCUAGUUGGUGGGGUAAAGGCCUACCAAGGCGACGAUCCAUAGCUGGUCUGAGAGGAUGAUCAGCCACAUUGGGACUGAGACACGGCCCAAACUCCUACGGGAGGCAGCAGUGGGGAAUAUUGGACAAUGGGCGCAAGCCUGAUCCAGCCAUGCCGCGUGAGUGAUGAAGGCCUUAGGGUUGUAAAGCUCUUUCACCGAUGAAGAUAAUGACGGUAGUCGGAGAAGAAGCCCCGGCUAACUUCGUGCCAGCCGCCGCGGUAAUUC
rnacentral:rRNA from 1 species